CUGCCUUGAAGAGUAUCUUGCAAACGACGCCGUUUUCCCUAGCUGGAGUCUGCCUCAGAGUUCAAUAUUACUACUUGUUUUUCCUCGUGGAAGAAACAAAUAAAUCAUCGUUUGUUUUGCGGAUUGACAUCAAAGAGGACGACAAGGCAUUGAAUUUAAGGGAUUGAAUCUGUUAAUUUUAGUAAUAUGGGGUCAUCGUCCGUAAUAACCCCAGAAGAUGUGUUGGAGUCAUUGAUGAAUGAUGGAACCAUUGAUGCUCUCAGGUUGAAGAUUAUAAAUCAACUAAAAGCCAAUGAGGAGCUGAAGAACACAACCAUCAAAAUGGCAGCGCAGAGUAAGGUCCUCAACACGUCUGGUGCGGAGAAACAGACCAAAAGAGAAUUGUUUGAUGCACUUAGGCAGGAACUUGAAACGCCAGUGCUCGAGAGGGCCUCAAAAGCAGUUUGGGAGUUGAUUCUAGACAGCAAUGGGCUAGGGAAGGAAAUAAGUGAAACAGUUGAAAGAGUAUUUUGUAAAUUAAGUGGCAGGGAACCUCCACUGUUUCCUCAUUCAAAUGAUAUUGUUCUUCAGCCUGAAAAAGCAGUCGGAAAUGAGAAAAGAAAAGGGAAAGAAAAAGAGUAUGAAAUCGAAAGGGAGAACUCUAAAUCCAAAUCAAAGAAACGAAGUUUCAACGACAUGAAUGCUGAGGGAAAUUGCACUGACAUCACUGGAACCUCUGGUGAUACUCCAGCUGCACCGCAUGAUGCUAAUUAAUCUCCCACAACUAGCAUGAAGAUAUGUUUAUGUGUCAACAGAGACCAUUGUCUCAGAACCUGGUGUAGUCUUUUGACUGGGAAAAAAAUUCACCCUUCAAUUUAGAGUGAUAGAACAAUACAAGAGUGCUAGAUUGCCCUCAAAAGAGACCAUUUGCACUUAGAAGAUGUCAAGUUCAUAGCUUGCGAAUUUUCAAAACAGAUAUGGAGGAAGGUAUUGGCAGCUUGUGAUAGUGAAAGAACUGUGGAAUCUUUGCAGGAUGAACUAAAUUGGGCAGUAUAUACCAGAUUUGGCAUUUGAGAAACAGGAGACUCCAUGGUGCAAGGGACUUAGCAUGACGUCGUUUAACAUAGUUGUGAAGAUUCUUUUCUUUUCUUUUUUUUUUUUUUUUUUGAUAGAAAGACCAUGAGUAAGAAUAAGGGCUGUUUGCUUUAUGAAUUUCUGAUGUAAUGUCUAAAAUUAUUUAGAGCUUCUUCCGACUCUUAAAUAAGAGGAUAAUAUAUUUUAGCAUAUUCGAAUCUACGUUCUCCUGUAUUGACAAUAAUAUUAAUGCCAAUUGAGAUAAGACUUAAUCAAUAUAAA